rnacentral:rRNA from 1 species
CCUUUNGGGGAAANUAGAGACAGUUGGUGCAUGGUUNUNGUCAGNUCGUNUCNUGAGAUGUUGGUUUAAGUCCCGCAAGGGAGCGCAACCCUUAUUGUUAGUUGCUACGCAAGAGCACUCUAGCAAGACUGCCGUUGACAAAACGGAGGAAGUGGGGACGACGUCAAUCAUCAUGCCCCUUAUGACCUGGGCUACACACGUACUACAUGGCCGUUAACAAAGAGAAGCGAAACCGCGAGGUGGAGCAAACCUAUAAAAACGGUCUCAGUUCGGAUUGUAGGCUGAAACCCGCNUGCAUGAAGUUGGAAUUGCUAGUAAUCGCGGAUCAUAAUGC